AACUACCCAAACCAAACCCUUGAGUAAGAAAAACCCUAAUUCUCUCUCUCCUAUAAAUUAUACCCAACGCUAAUGUUACUUUCAUCAUUCACUCACUCACCGCUCCUCCGCCUCUACUAUUCCAAGACUCAACCUUUUCCUUUUCUUUAAUUUCUCAUUUUCUGAAAAUAUCUGGGGUUUUUAAUGGAGAAUUACAGUGACGACUCACAAUAUUCAAGCUCAACAGACCGGAUUGCAGGAUCUUCUCUUUGUCGAGAAGAACUCUUGCGUGUCGAGUAACCCGCUGAACUGAGUAAUUCUCUCUCCACAACCCUUCCUUUUUUCUUCUCCUUUCUUUUUUUUUUUUUUUUGAUAUUAUAGCUAUUGAUAAGGAUGAGCCUAUGAAAUAUUAUAAUCCAACACUUGAUCUGACUUGUUAACACCAAGUGUGAAGUUCAAUUUUCAUUGCUCCUGAAUCUUCAUACCUAUUUUUUUUAACAUAUAUAUUUAUAUUUAUGUGACGGAGAUUUAUCCGAAAAUCUCAUUUACAUUGAAAUUAAAUUGGGGCAAAUUAGAUUCAAUAUUUGUAUAUCCCAAUGAGUAAAAACGUCACAAAUCAAGUCGAUUAACGUUGCAGAUUCUUUCGGGAAUCUCCGUUAUAUGACGAGCUCAUAUCUCAUUACCUUGAGUAGCGGCGUUGCUGCUUUUACUUUUUGGCGGGCCAUGAGACUAACAUUUUUAUUUAUUUAUUUGAUUUUAUUUAUAAUUCAAUUUUAAUUAUAGAAUUAAUACGCCUAUGAAGAAAUCAGUUUAAAAAACACCAUCUUUCGGGACUGAAUGGCCCCCUUAAAAGGGCCUUGCUGUUACAAUUCUGCAAUUCUGAGGCUUUUGCUUUUUUUUUUUUUUAUUUUUUGUUUUAUUUUUCUGAAAAAAUUAGGUAAGAAUUUGGAAACCCUUUAGUCUAUGAUGGCGAUAAAUAUACUUUGAGUAGUUAAAUACCAUGAAACCAACUUCAAGCUGAGGCUUUUGGGUUUUGUUCAUUUUUUACUAGUUUCAAAACUUGAUAGUUUUUACAUAAAAUUUAGUAGGUGCAGAUGAUGAAAAACUAGACAGGGACAUCAGAACUCUUAGGAGUAUCAAAUAUGAUGAUAUGUCUAAGAUGGGAAUCUCUUUGAUGCACUUUAUCUUAUAAGUUCUUGUAUUUGAGGAUGGCCUGUGAUGUAAUUAUAAUUUUAUACAUCUUCAGAUUAAAUAGCUGAUGAUAUCUCAAAAUUGUCACUACCUCUGAGGCAUUUUAGUUUUUAAAACAACAUAAAAUUUUCUGGAAAGCCUAAUGAUUGCAAACAAGAACGGAGAUAUGAAUGUUGUUUUCUUGUAGUAGCUAAACGUAGUGGAUUGGGCUCCAAGUGCAUCGUAUGUAAUCAAAUGAUCUUUUGCUUCGGCAAUGAAGGCUUUUUUAGGUGAGAUGUUUGUAAUUGUUGCACAAUUGAUUUUUGAGCUAUUCAUGUGAUUACUUUAGAACAGUUAUUUGAAUUUUGAUGAAGGGCAAUAAAUUAGAGUCUCUGGUGCGCUUAUGUUCAAUAGCGUGUACAGCGCUGUACGUUGCCUAUAUUAUUUGGGAUUGAUAUUCUGGCAUUUUCCAUUGUUUUCUGAUGGUUUAUGCAUUCUGAAGUUCCUACAUUAUAUAUUAUGAUAGAAUUUCUUAUAGAUUAUAAGAUAGAUUCACUUAUUUUAGGAUUUAAAUGGAGGAUAAGGUUAUGGAAAUGAUGAUUAUUUCCCCAGAUGAUCGACGCUGAAAUUACCGAGCUAUUUUAUUCUCAUUUAUGAGAAUUCAAGCCAGAAUUCUGAUCCAUAACCUAUUAUUACUGUAAAAAAUGAAUUUAUCCGAAAAUCUCAUUUACAUGAUAAUAAAUUGGGGUAAAUAGUAAUACUUGCAUAUUUAUCCCAAUUAUGUAGAAGAGGAGAGAAAGCGGUGAUGAUUUGAAAACUACCUAUUUUCUGAGAGCAUUGUUUGUUUCUUUGAUUAUAGAUAACCAAUGGAUCCUUCUGAGCUUUCUUUUUAUUUUUCUCAAAUUUUGUUGGUUAUUUUAUAAUGUUGUUUAAUAAAUGUUGAUGUGUAGCUGUUGAUGUGAUGAAUAUUGUCUCGGAAUUACAUAUGUCGACUUAAAAAAAUUCAGACUACAAUUAUCUGAUUCAAUGGCUUCUUUCCUAGAAGUUGUUUUUUAGAAAGUUUUGGUUGAAUUUUGUAAAUUUUUUUGGCAAUGAUUAGUAACUUAUCCGCGCUUCCGAGAUUUAUUCGAUGAAGUAUAGGAUUAAAAUGGUUGAAUUUCUUGAUAUGAGCCAAAUUCUUUGUACCAAAACUGCAUUUUAAAUUGUCUAAUUUAUUUUAGUUAUUAAUUGGAGUAUAAUGCUAUGAUGAUUAAAUUUCAGCUUAUGCCAGUUCUGCUUCAGAAAAUUCGUGAUAGAAAAAGCUGUUUAAUAAUCUGAGCUAAAAUUCUUUAGAUUUCAAUUUUUAAUUCUGGUUUUGUUGAAUUAAGGUUAAUGAUGGGUAAUUUCACUUGGUUGAGGAUGUAGUUAUGACUUCGAAUCCCACUUUGAAGCGCUACAUCUUAUCAUGAUAUAACUUGAUCGACUAUCUGAAACCUUACUACUUCAAAUAUGUUUUGAAAAUCUUUUACCAGUGAUGAUGAAAUCCAAUUAAAUGAGGUGUAAUGGAUCUGAGUCCCUGUUUUACAGGGGGAACCUCUCAGUGAAACUGCACCAUUUUGAUAUUACUGGAUUUAACUGAGGUUUCUAUUUCCCUUAAAUGUGAUUAGCUAAAUUUUUCAUUAAUUAAAUAAUGAGUUUUAACUAUACUCUUUGCUCUUGUAAAAUAGUGAGUAAAGAGCCUGAAAGAACUCAGAAAGUGAGUGUUGUCAUCAGCUUCGUCCUUUUGUUAAUUACGGGAUUGGAGUUAAAUAACAGCACUAGAUUUUUGUAUCGAAUCCCAAAUAUGCAUGUAGAGAACUAGAGAUUCCUACAUUUAGUCAGCAUCCACAGUAUAGAAAAGGCAUAUAGAAUAGAGAUAAUGUUUGGAAUUAAAUGUUCUAUUUUAGUUAUCUGAUGAUUCUUGAUUAUUGUUGGGAUAUAUGCUAGCUGAAGAUAGAUGUUGCGUUCAUCUGUAAGCGUUUUUUUAGCCAUGAUUUAUAUUGAAGCUUUUCGAGUAGCCUACUUUAAUCUUGUUCUCAAUGAUGACAAGAAUGAGUUGGAUUUGAUAGUGAUAACUUAACCAGCUAAUAUGUUAUGCGACGAUGAGGUGAUUUUGGAGCUUGAUCGUUAUACAAGGUAGAGAUAGAACGCAUUCGUACCGCUACUUGGAGACCUUAUUUGAGUUAUGUAAUUGAUUCAGCGUUAGAUGAGUUGCACCUUUAUCCCAUAAUUCGAAGAUAUGUAAGAAUUAGAAAUUAAGGUUAUCACUAUUAUGAGAAUGGAGAUACUGUAGACUGUAGUAGCUAAAUGUAGUGGAUUGGGCUCCAAGUGCAUCGUGUGCAAUAAACAAUCUUUUGUUUUGUUAGUGAAAGCUAUUUCAAGUUUUUAAUGUUUUUGUGCAAAUAAUAUAAUGGCGCGAUUAAUUUUUCCCUAAUUUAUACAUGUUAAUUUAAUUUUUCCCUAUUUCAAACCAACUUCAAGUUGAGGCUUUUGGGUUUUGUUCAUUUUUCCCUAAUUUAUACAUGUUAAUUUAAUUUCAAAAAUAUUAAUUAUUUGAAUUUUUUUUUUGUUAGUUUCUACCGAAAAUUUAGUAGGUGCAGAUGAUGAAAAACUAGACAGGGACAUCAGAACUGUUAGGAGUAUCAAAUAUGAUGAUAUGUCUAAGAUGGGAAUCUCUUUGAUGCACUUAAAUUAUUCUCAAUUUAUUUAGAAUUAAAAAGGAGGAAGUAUAAUUUAUGUGUUUUGUGUAUAUUUGAAUGAGGAUAAGGUUGUGGAAAUAAUGAUUAUUUCCCCAGAUGAUUACCGAGCUAUUUUAUUCUCAUUUAAGAGAAUUCAAGCCAAAAUUCUGAUCCAUAACCUAUUAUUACAUUACAUUUACGAAAACAUCGAUUAUCCGAAAAUUUCAUUUACUAAUUGGGGAAAAAUAGUAAUAUUUUAUGAGAGCAUUGUUUGUUUCUUUGAUUAUAGAUAACCAAUGGAUGCAUCUGAGCUUUCUCUUUAUUUUUCUCAAAUCUAGUUUUAAACAUUUUAUUUAUUAAAAUGUUCUUUAUAAAUUUUAUGAAGUUAUUGUGUAGCUGUUGAUGGGAUGAAUAUUGUCUCGGAAUUACACAUGUCAACUUAAAAAAAUUCAAAUUACAAUUAAUGCAGUGGCUAAUUUCCAUAAGUUAUUUUUAAGAAGGUUUUAGUUGAAUUUUGUAAUUUUUUUGGUAAUGAUUAGUAACUUAUCCGCGCUUCCGAGAUUUAUUCGAUGAAGUGUAGGAUUAAAAUGGUUGAAUUUCUUGAUAUGAGCCAACUUCUUUUUACUAUAAAAAAUUAUUAAAAGAGACGGUCUACUUUUAACAUAAUAGUAGACUUAGUCACUAAAUGAAUUAAACUAAUCACCAAAAAAAUUAACCUAAUCAUUAUUGGGAUAAUUCUUUUUUUUAUAUUGGGCCUUUCAUUGAAUCAUUGUCUAAUUUUAAUUUAAAAAUAGACAGUCUCCUACAAGACAAAUUCUUUUACUAAAACUGCAUUUUAAAUUGUCUAAUUUAUAUUAGUUAUAUUUUAGUUAUUAUUUUGAAUAUAAGACAAUGAUGAUUAAAUUUCAGCUUAUGCCAGUUCUGCUUCAGAAAAUUCGUGAUAGAAAAAGCUAUCUAGUGUUCUGAGCUAAAAUUCUUUAGAUUUAAAUUUGAAAUUCUGGUUUUGAAAAAUACAUGGUUGAAUAAAGGAUAAUGAUGGGUAAUUUUACUUGGUUGAGGUGUAGUUAUGACUUCGAAUCCCACUUUGAAGGGCUACAUCUUAUCAUGAUAUAACUUGAUCGACUAUCUGAAACCUUACUACUUCAAAUAUGUUUUGAAAAUCUUAUACCAGUGAUGAUGAAAUCCAAUUAAAUGAGGUGUAACGGAUCUGAGUCCCUGUUUGACAGGGGGAACCUCUUAGUGAAAUUUCAUCAUUUGAUAUUAUUGGAUGUAACUGAGGUUUUCAUUUCCCUAAAAUGUAGUUAGGAAAAUUUUAGGGUUACAUACAAGACAUAAAUACACUACUUAAAACGGAAAUAAGUUGUAAAUUUAUGGAAAAAAUUUGCAUCAAUCGAUGUAAUAAAUGAUCAAUUAAUGUAACUUAUUUCUAUUUUUAACUUCUUAUAUACAGCCCUUAGGGCUACAUAUAGCUUUUCCCUUUAAUUAAUGAGUUUUAACUAUACUCUUUGCUCUAGUAAAAUAGUGAGUAAUGAGCCUGGAAGAACUCAGAAAGUGAGUGUUGUCAUCAGCUUCGUCCUUUUGUUAAUUACGGGAUUGGAGUUAAAUAACAGCACUACAUUGUUCUAAUGAAUUAUACUAGUGUAGUUACAUCUUAAAACUGAUUAUUUAAUGGGAAUCUCUUUGAUGCACACAAAUCCAAUUAACUUCAUUUUAUUCUAUGGGUUGAACUAAUUGUUUGUUGUGGACUCGAAAAAUAUAAUUUUUUGUGCAAAAUGGCAAUAAAUUAGAGUCUCUGAUACGCUUUUCAACAAUAGUGUAUUUAGCGCUGUACGUUGCCUAUAUAUUAUGGAAUCAUAAAAUUGCAUAGUCUGUUACGUAUAAUGAUUUAUGCAUGUAGAAAUUCCUACAUUUUAAUUUUGGGAGAUAGGUGAAAUAAGAAAGAUAUAUAGGAUAGAGAAAAUGUUUGGAUGUAAAUAUUUUGUUCACCAUGAUAUUUAUUUGGUUAAUGUUAUUUCUAAUUUUAAAUUAUCUUUUUAUUCUUGUUUAUUGUUAGUAUAUAUGCUAAUUGAGGGUGCUAUUUAUUAUAAAUGUUGUUCAUAUUUAACGAACCUCUAGGCAUGAUUGAUAGUGAAGAUUUUCGAGUAGUCUAGUUUAAUCCUGUUCUCAAUGAUGAAGAGUAUGAAGUGGAGUAUGAUAGUAAUAACUAUAUUAACUAAUAUGUUAUGCGAAGGUGAGGUAAUUUUGGAGCUUGAAUGUUAUACAAGACAUACACAAAAGGGCAUUGGUAGUGCUAUUUGGUGAUCUUAUACGAUUGGUGUAAGUGAUUCAGAGUUUGAUGACUAUGCACCUUGAAGAUGAAAAAUGAUAUAUAAUGACAUCUUGGUUGGUAUAGUUAUUAUUAUUAGACUUCACAGUAGCUUACUAUUAGGGCAACUUUACUAUCAGUCAUGGCUAGAUGUCUUUUAACAUAUGAAAACGUGAUUCUUCUAUCUAUUUAACUUUGUUAUAUUAUUUUAUAAUUUCUUCUAUUUGAGGAUAGUCUAUUAUGUAAAUAUAAUUAUAUACAUCUUCAUAUUAAACAGACGAUACCUCAAAAUAGUAAUCAAGAACGUACAUAUUAAUGGCAUUUUCAUCGUAUGUAAUCAACAAUCUUUUGUUUUGGCAAUGAAGGCUCUUUCAUGCCCGAUUUUGCUACACUUUGAUUUUCGUGCUAUUCAUAUGAUAUUUUACAGAUAAUAUAAUGCUAUUGAUAGAGAAAAAUGGCAAUAAAAUUUAGUGUGUAUAGUGUUGUAAGUUGCUUAUAUUAUUGGGUAUUGAUAUGUUGUCAUUUUCCAUUGCUUUUUAAUGGUUUAUGCAUUCUGAUGUCCUUACUUCAUAUUGAUAUUCUGUCAUUUUUCAUUGUUUUUUGAUGGUUUACUUCAUUCUGAUGUUAUAAAUGAAAGAGAAGUGUUUUACUCAUUUUAGAAUUAGAAGAUGGUUAUGGAAAUGAUGAAUAUUUCCCCAGAUGAUCGAUGCUGAAAUUACCGAGCUAUUUUAUUCUCAUUUAUGAGAAUUCAAGCCAGAAUUCUGAUCCAUAACCUAUUAUUACAUUACGUUUAAGCAAACAUUGAUUAUUUCAAAAAUCUCCUUUACACGAUAAUAAAUAGGGGCAACUUGUAAAAUUUGUUUAAAUGGUUUUUUUUACUAACUACCUUUAGGGGUGGUUAGGCUUUCAAAUUAUAGACUUUGUUAGAACCGCUAGUUUUGCUAAACAUGUCUUUUGAGUAGUUUUGCCAAACAUAUCUUAUCAUGAUAUAAUUUGAUAUUAAAAAUUAAGCAUUUGAAAUCUUUUACCAGUGAUGAUAAAAUCCAAUCAAAUGAGGUGUAAUGGAUCUGAGUCCCUGUUUGACAGGGGGAACCUCUCAGUGAAAUUGCACCAUUUGAUGUUAUUGGAUUUGACCGAGGCUUUCAUUUUCCUAAAUUAUAAUUAGGUCAAUUUUUCAUUAAUUAAUUAAUGAGUUUUAACUAUAUGGGUAAAGAGUUUGAAGGAAUUCAAAAAAUGGGUGUUGUUAUCAGCUUCUUCCUUUGUUAAUUACGGUAUUGGAGUUAAAUAACAACACUUUAUUUGUCAAUUUAUUGUUUUACGUGGCGGAGCUUGUUAUACUAGUUUAUUUACUACUUAAUAUUGAUUGUUUUUGUCAAAUGAUCAACUCAACCAAAAACUUAAGCUGGUGGCUGGAGUACCAGGAAUAGUCUAAGGCCCUGUUUGACAAUAGCGUUUGAGGUAGUGGGUAGCGGUUGGACAAGGUCAAAAAGCUACUUAGGAAAAAAAUAAGUGUUUGGUAAGGUAGCGUUUGUAGUAGAGGGUAGAGGUUUAGGUAGAGGUUGGGUAGUGGUUGAGAAACGCUUCCCAUGUUAACGUUUCAUAAAAAAAAGUAGCGUUCAAAAUUAUUUUUUUUUAAUAUUAUUUUCAGAUAUUCAUUUUCCGGAAAAAAAAUCAAGAAAAUCUUUGAAAAAUCAACUUAUCUAUAACGACAGUAGCUACAAAAUUCCCAUUGUAUUGAUCAAGUUUCCUCAGAGUUUGAAUUGGACUCUUCACACUGAUCAUCAAGGAUACAACUUAUUCAUCUUCUCUCCAAUACGAGGCUCAUCAUAACUAUGGAUAUCGAUGAAGAAAGAAAGCGCAAAAUUAUGAUUAUUACAAUCGCAUAUACAAUGUCUUUAAUAAUCACAUAUUUUUAUAAGUAUUAUAAUUAUGAUUUUUUAGGGAGUGUAAGCAUUGAAUUUAUUUAUUAAGCUAAUUAAUAAAAAUAUUGUAAUUUAGUUCGCAACUAAAUCUAAUAUGUAUUUCUAA